CGCUCGCGCUGGGUUUACGUGCACCUGUCCCGCAGCGAUGGAGACCUGCUGUUGCUAGGCAGAACCGCUCAGGUUCGUGUCAGAAUCAUGGCAGCAAAUCCAACAAAACGCAAAGAACUUGGCGCAGUUUUCUCCCCCAAACUAAGCGAAAGAGUCGAGUAAAGCUGCUGGUAAUGUGAGCUAAGCUAAUACCGAUAUAGCACGCUGCGUAGGUUAAACCCGUGCGGGCUGUACAACGUCCUCAGACCCGAUCUCUGACGGCGUGAGGCCUCCUAAGCAUCCGCUGCUCGAUUCCAACACCCAGUCGCAUUGUUAGCGUGCGUCGUCAUUGGUUUCCUGUUGGAACAUUAACUGGAAGUGGGGGUCUCGCACAGAUAGGAGGCUGAGGAGUUAAAGCUGGAGCAGAGGGAAUCAGGCGUGUCAUGGUCCAGGCACGUGACGAGUCCCAGGCAUCAACCACAAAAAUGUUCCGCGAUUGAAAAGGUGAGGGGUUAUGAUUACUAACAUGAUAGCGGAUAACACCCGUUAGGACGGUCCUCUUUCCACACUUUUCCCAUCAAGAAACCUCGAAGCCCAGUUGGAAGUUUUGGAGAUGAAACGUGAUAUGGAUACUGCACAAGAAUAUACCAACUCUUGUCGAGCUACGCAUGCUAAAGCUGAAGACCGAAAAUUCACCUGGCCUCGAACGGGUUGGCAACAGAACCUGUACGAAAGACUAAAUGCAGAAAAUAUAGCUCUGGAAAACAAUAAUGGUUGUCCGGCCGAUACUUGGUGGCGUUGACGGGGAUUUCGAUGGAGGAGCAGUUCCAGCGCAUGUCGGCGAACGUCUUCUGACACGUUUUCU